GGACCUGACUGCUAUCGGAUUGAUACUAAGCCAUGCGAGUCUUUGUAGUAAUACAAGGCAGACGGCUCAGUAACGCGUAGUCAAUCUACCCUAUGGACGAGGAUAACCUCGGGAAACUGAGAAUAAUACUCGAUAGAACAUUAUGCCUGGAAUGGUUUAUGUUCCAAAUGAUUUAUCGCCGUAGGAUGGGACUGCGGCCUAUCAGUUUGUUGGUGAGGUAAUGGCCCACCAAGACUAUUACAGGUACGGGCUCUGAGAGGAGUGGCCCGGAGAUGGGUACUGAGACACGGACCCAGGCCCUAUGGGGCGCAGCAGGCGAGAAAACUUUGCAAUGUGCGAAAGCACGACAAGGUUAAUCCGAGUGGUUUCUGCUAAAGAGACCUUUUGUCGGUCCUAGAAACACCGAUGGAUAAGGGGUGGGCAAGUUCUGGUGA
rnacentral:rRNA from 1 species